rnacentral:misc_RNA from 1 species
AAGUCAUAACAAGGUUUCCUGUAGGUGAACCUGCAGGAACGGAUCAUUAAUAAUGUUCUCUGGGCUUCGGUCAGCUGAGUUCAAUGAGUGCCUUCUCUUCGGGAGUUGGCCAUCCACACACACCGUGAACUGUGGCUUCGGCCAUCACAAACUGUUAGUAAUGAAUGUAAUAUCUAACAAAAACAAAAC